UUGUGAGGUUAAGCGACUAAGCGUACACGGUGGAUGCCCUGGCAGUCAGAGGCGAUGAAGGACGUGCUAAUCUGCGAUAAGCGUCGGUGAGGUGAUAUGAACCGUUAUAACCGGCGAUUUCCGAAUGGGGAAACCCAGUGUGUUUCGACACACUAUCAUUAACUGAAUCCAUAGGUUAAUGAGGCGAACCGGGGGAACUGAAACAUCUAAGUACCCCGAGGAAAAGAAAUCAACCGAGAUUCCCCCAGUAGCGGCGAGCGAACGGGGAGGAGCCCAGAGCCUGAAUCAGUGUGUGUGUUAGUGGAAGCGUCUGGAAAGGCGCGCGAUACAGGGUGACAGCCCCGUACACAAAAAUGCACAUAUUGUGAGCUCGAUGAGUAGGGCGGGACACGUGGUAUCCUGUCUGAAUAUGGGGGGACCAUCCUCCAAGGCUAAAUACUCCUGACUGACCGAUAGUGAACCAGUACCGUGAGGGAAAGGCGAAAAGAACCCCGGCGAGGGGAGUGAAAAAGAACCUGAAACCGUGUACGUACAAGCAGUGGGAGCCUCUUAAUGGGGUGACUGCGUACCUUUUGUAUAAUGGGUCAGCGACUUAUAUUCUGUAGCAAGGUUAACCGAAUAGGGGAGCCGAAGGGAAACCGAGUCUUAACUGGGCGUUAAGUUGCAGGGUAUAGACCCGAAACCCGGUGAUCUAGCCAUGGGCAGGUUGAAGGUUGGGUAACACUAACUGGAGGACCGAACCGACUAAUGUUGAAAAAUUAGCGGAUGACUUGUGGCUGGGGGUGAAAGGCCAAUCAAACCGGGAGAUAGCUGGUUCUCCCCGAAAGCUAUUUAGGUAGCGCCUCGUGAAUUCAUCUCCGGGGGUAGAGCACUGUUUCGGCAAGGGGGUCAUCCCGACUUACCAACCCGAUGCAAACUGCGAAUACCGGAGAAUGUUAUCACGGGAGACACACGGCGGGUGCUAACGUCCGUCGUGAAGAGGGAAACAACCCAGACCGCCAGCUAAGGUCCCAAAGUCAUGGUUAAGUGGGAAACGAUGUGGGAAGGCCCAGACAGCCAGGAUGUUGGCUUAGAAGCAGCCAUCAUUUAAAGAAAGCGUAAUAGCUCACUGGUCGAGUCGGCCUGCGCGGAAGAUGUAACGGGGCUAAACCAUGCACCGAAGCUGCGGCAGCGACGCUUAUGCGUUGUUGGGUAGGGGAGCGUUCUGUAAGCCUGUGAAGGUGUGCUGUGAGGCAUGCUGGAGGUAUCAGAAGUGCGAAUGCUGACAUAAGUAACGAUAAAGCGGGUGAAAAGCCCGCUCGCCGGAAGACCAAGGGUUCCUGUCCAACGUUAAUCGGGGCAGGGUGAGUCGACCCCUAAGGCGAGGCCGAAAGGCGUAGUCGAUGGGAAACAGGUUAAUAUUCCUGUACUUGGUGUUACUGCGAAGGGGGGACGGAGAAGGCUAUGUUGGCCGGGCGACGGUUGUCCCGGUUUAAGCGUGUAGGCUGGUUUUCCAGGCAAAUCCGGAAAACCAAGGCUGAGGCGUGAUGACGAGGCACUACGGUGCUGAAGCAACAAAUGCCCUGCUUCCAGGAAAAGCCUCUAAGCAUCAGGUAACAUCAAAUCGUACCCCAAACCGACACAGGUGGUCAGGUAGAGAAUACCAAGGCGCUUGAGAGAACUCGGGUGAAGGAACUAGGCAAAAUGGUGCCGUAACUUCGGGAGAAGGCACGCUGAUAUGUAGGUGAAGCGACUAGCUCGUGGAGCUGAAAUCAGUCGAAGAUACCAGCUGGCUGCAACUGUUUAUUAAAAACACAGCACUGUGCAAACACGAAAGUGGACGUAUACGGUGUGACGCCUGCCCGGUGCCGGAAGGUUAAUUGAUGGGGUUAGCGGCAACGCGAAGCUCUUGAUCGAAGCCCCGGUAAACGGCGGCCGUAACUAUAACGGUCCUAAGGUAGCGAAAUUCCUUGUCGGGUAAGUUCCGACCUGCACGAAUGGCGUAAUGAUGGCUAGGCUGUCUCCACCCGAGACUCAGUGAAAUUGAACUCGCUGUGAAGAUGCAGUGUACCCGCGGCAAGACGGAAAGACCCCGUGAACCUUUACUAUAGCUUGACACUGAACAUUGAGCCUUGAUGUGUAGGAUAGGUGGGAGGCUUUGAAGUGUGGACGCCAGUCUGCAUGGAGCCGACCUUGAAAUACCACCCUUUAAUGUUUGAUGUUCUAACGUUGGCCCGUAAUC
rnacentral:rRNA from 1 species